rnacentral:rRNA from 1 species
GACGGGUGAGUAUCGCGUAGGAUAUGUCCGGAGGUGGGGGACAACCCUGGGAAACUGGGGCUAAUACCGCAUAUGAGCUGAGGCUCAAAGCAGUGAUGCGCCUUUGGAGUAGCCUGCGUCCGAUUAGCUUGUUGGUGGGGUAAAGGCCUACCAAGGCGACGAUCGGUAGCUGGUCUGAGAGGACGACCAGCCACACUGGGACUGAGACACGGCCCAGACUCCUACGGGAGGCAGCAGGGGGGAAUAUUGGACAAUGGGCGCAAGCCUGAUCCAGCAAUUCCGCGUGGGUGAAGAAGGUCUUCGGAUUGUAAAGCCCUUUCGACGGGGACGAUGAUGACGGUACCCGUAGAAKAAGCCCCGGCUAACUUCGUGCCAGCAGCCGCGGUAAUACGAAGGGGGCUAGCGUUGCUCGGAAUUACUGGGCGUAAAGGGC